UGAGUAAGUCGGAUGGCCGCGUGCGAUUUUCGCACGAGGAAAGUCCGAGCUCCACAGGGCAGGGUGCCGGGUAAUACCCGGUGGAGGCGACUCCAAGGAAAGUGCAACAGAGAUAUACCGCCUGGCACUCAACUUGCUGAGUGCUGGGUAAGGGUGGAAAGGUGAGGUAAGAGCUCACCAGGGACCAGGCGACUGGUCUGCUCUGCAAACCCCACCCGGAGCAAGGCGAAUAGGAGGGAGUAGGUGGCCCGCCGUUUCCCUCGGGUUAUGCCGCUGGAGGUGUCAGGCAACUGACCCCCUAGAUAGAUGGCCAUCCUCGACAGAACUCGGCUUACAGACUUGCUCACAUG
rnacentral:RNase_P_RNA from 19 species